rnacentral:rRNA from 1 species
UUGAACGCUGGCGGCAGGCCUAACGCAUGCCAGUCGAGCGGAUGAAGGGAGCUUGCUCCUGGAUUCAGCGGCGGACGGGUGAGUAAUGCCUAGGAAUCUGCCUGGUAGUGGGGGAUAACGUCCGGAAACGGGCGCUAAUACCGCAUACGUCCUGAGGGAGAAAGUGGGGGAUCUUCGGACCUCACGCUAUCAGAUGAGCCUAGGUCGGAUUAGCUAGUUGGUGGGGUAAAGGCCUACCAAGGCGACGAUCCGUAACUGGUCUGAGAGGAUGAUCAGUCACACUGGAACUGAGACACGGUCCAGACUCCUACGGGAGGCAGCAGUGGGGAAUAUUGGACAAUGGGCGAAAGCCUGAUCCAGCCAUGCCGCGUGUGUGAAGAAGGUCUUCGGAUUGUAAAGCACUUUAAGUUGGGAGGAAGGGCAGUAAGUUAAUACCUUGCUGUUUUGACGUUACCAACAGAAUAAGCACCGGCUAACUUCGUG